UCCUCUCCCGGCCACUUAAAGCCCCCUUCCUAGCCUGCAACCCUAGCCUCCUCUAGCUUCCUCCUGGUACCCGCCGCCACUUCCUCUCUUCCUCUUCCCUUUCUUCCGCUCGCCUCCUCCCUUGCCGGCCGUGACGCUCUAGUCGCUGCAAGAGCGCCGCCGUCCUCCUCUCUUUUCCGUCCGCCUCGGCCACCUCUGGUUUCCGCCAUCAAUGGUUCAUAAAGAUGAGCUCCUCUUCCUUCACAUGAUCUGCAGCGCAACUUUAUUGGUUUGUACCCUGCUCCUUCACAAUUUGAUCUUGUUCUUCCCUGCGCGAGCCAAAAGGUCUGAGCCUUUCUCUGUUUAUCUAUCUUCCUUGAUCUGGACGCCCACUCCGCUCCACUCCCAGCAAGCCGGCGCCAAGCACGCUCGCCAUGAUCUCCCAGACGUCGCCGACGUACGUGCCCUCGUCUCCAUCUUCAAACGUCUUCGACCGCCGCCUCGCAUGAGCUCCGCCUCCCUGCAGCGACCACACGUCCGCAUCCCUGCAACGCGUCUGCGUUCCCAAGCCCUGCGAGUCUGCGACCGCCAGCAUCCAGGCCACGCGACGGCCAAGCGCGCCACGCCAACGACGCCUCGUCCGCCUCGCAAGCCGUCAUGCAUAUCCGUCCGCGUCGAGCAGCUUGGCCCGUACCUCACCGGCUCCAGCUCGUCGCCAACAGCCGCGUCGCCCUCCAUCUUCCUCGCGCUCGUCCUCACCGCACGUCCCCGUCCGAGCUUGUCGUCGCCGACAGCAUACACAAGUUCUGCACCGUCGGCCAUGCGCCAAGUUCUCCUCGACUUCCAGCCGGAGCCGUAGUCGCCCGCGUAACGAAGCUCGCCACCAACAGACUCCGUUCAAGUUCGCUGCCAAUGUUGAUCGCCGACAAGCACAGCGCCGCGUGCCCGCGUCCCUGCAUCUCGUGCAUGGCCAAGCUCCAGGCUUGGAAGCCGUCAAACAGCAGCACGUCUCUCUGCCCAUGUGUUUAACAACGAUUUCCUUGGGUGAGAAACACCAGCGUCAGGCAGUCCAGUUUCCAGUCAGCAUCUUCAGGUCCCAUCAUCAGCCGAUGUGGCUAGCUCUCCUUCUGCAUUUGCUUCUUCCCGGAUAGGAUCACGAAGUGGUGUGGUGAGAUACGACAAGAUCUCCGGAUGUCCCUCGGCAAGCUUUAACAGGCAAGCAUUUCCCCUAUACUCCUGUCCCUGCAGGAGUCGCUCACCUAUUUUAUUUUGCUUUCUCCCUCAUGCUAUCCUUAAGUUGCGUUCUUGUCACGUGUCCUUUCCACUUGUUACCUCAAGCAGCCCAUAUUGCCACCACCACCUCCUAUGGCUAUUGUUUGGUUAUCGAGUCUGCCCUUGCGAGUCGUAGUGCAUGCUAGUGCUGUUUUAUCUCGUUACCGUUAUUGAUAUCUUAUCGGGUUAUAUGCUGGGAAGAAUCAUGGUUACUUUAGUUGUUGAUAUUUGUUUAGCGGAGGCAUCGGUGGGUCAGCUGCUCGUUUUGUGAUGGCUCACUUGUGUUUCCUAAAUAUCUUAGGACCCCGAGUUCUUGUUAUCUGUUCCGAGACUGAGCGCUCUAACCACACGUGGGUAUGCUUACCGGGUCUCCCCUCGACCACUGCCGGAAUCUACAGCUUUGUCCAGUGGCCACAACUAGUUUGGAUGUUUGUUUUGCUUCUCCCGGGCGUGCAAGCAUGUUUCUUUGUGGUCAGAUGAUAUGAUGUUACUUUUGGGGAAGCCGUGAGUGCCUUGUAUCCCCGUUGUCUCUUGCACGUCCGUAGGUGCGGCACGUAUUGUUAAGAGGUCAUCCUCUAGUGGGCUCUGAUCCUCUUAGCCGUUCUCGCAACAGCUAGGUCCGCGUCGGAGUUUCGAUCGGGCUCCGAAACGGGUUUAACUUAGUUAGGUGGCUUCCUGGACAUUGUUGUAGUGAAGGAGAGUGUGUGUCGUGAUAUCCACCUGUCGUAAGUGGGUUUAUCGUGCGUGUGGGCACAUUUGGGCACCCCUGCAGGGUUAAAAUCUUAUCGAUAAGCCGUGUCCGCGGUUAUGGACGACUUGGAGCUGUAUGACUCGACCAUAGACAACUUACACCUGUUGUUUCAAUACUAAUAACUUGUGUAGUAAGUUAGCACAACUUUAAUAAUAAAUGGUUAAAACUUGACAACCGUGUGAGUGCCUUUGUAAGUACCUCCUUGCGAGGGGGGAACACAUCGGUUGGGUUAUGUUUGCAGAGUAUAGAACUGUUAGUUUAUGCGCUCUCUCAUCUUCUCUGAUUAGACGAAUGUUGUAGAGUGUCUCUAUAGGUUUUUAGUGCUUGCGCGCUGCCGCUUAACCCCACCAUAUUGCCUAUGACGUUCCUCUUGCGUCCUCUAAGUCCCCUGCGUGCCUCAAGUACAAAGGAUGACUGGUUGACGAAUGCUUAUACGUCUUGAAGUCUUGUUAAGUACGAACCCGUACUUAUUGCUGCUUCUACGGGAUAUAACC